rnacentral:tRNA from 1 species
GGGACCAUAGCUCAAUUGGUUAGCAGCAAUCGACUCAUAAUCGAUAGGUUCCUGGUUCGAGUCCAGGUGGUCCCACCA